rnacentral:tRNA from 1 species
UCCCUGGUGGUCCAGUGGCUGAGACUCUGUGCUCCCAAUGCAGGGACCUGGGUUUGAUCCCUGGUCAGGGAA